GGCCCCAUCGUCUAGCCUGGUCAGGACGCCGCCCUUUCAAGGCGGUAGCACGGGUUCAAAUCCCGUUGGGGCUA
rnacentral:tRNA from 1 species